GAAAACAUGUUAUAAAAUGCUCUACAUUUUACUUUUCUAAAAUCGUUUUGAAAUUAUUUUUUAUUCCAUUAAGGAAAAAUUAAUAUAAAUGAAAUGGAAAAUUACCAGAUUACUGUUUUCUCUUCUUUUUUUUCUUUUUUUCUCCUUGUACAGUUGUUUAUCUCGCAUGGGUUGCUGUUUUUUUUUCUCUUUUCUGGGUUGUUUUUUUUUCUUUUAUGGGUUGUUGUUUCUGGUGAAGUUUUUAUACUGAAGAGAUGUUUUUGUGUUGCUGUGGGUUAGGAUUUGAAAGAUGAUAAAAAUAAAUUAACAAACAAACAAAACCCUAAACAUAAAAACUUACACGGCGAUGCAGCAGAGGACUGUCGAUGGCGAUGUAGAAGAGGACUUUCGAUGGCGAUGCGACAGAGGACUUUCGAUGACUAUGCGGCAGAGGACUGUCGAUGGUGAUGCAACAGAGGACUGUCGAUGGCAAUGCAGUAGACGUUCAGAGAAAUCUAAGGGAUUUGCGGAUUUUGAUUUGAGGAAAAAAACUAUGGGAUUUGGGGAAAUUUUUAGGGGAAAAAAUAAGGGGUUUUGGGAAACUGAUUUGGGGAUAAAAAAUAAGGGGAGCGGGUGGAGGUGAUUUCUAUGAUUAGCUUCUGUUGAUGUUGGGAGGGAGAGGGUGGAGGUCGAUUUUUCGGGUUGGGAGGGUAAAACAGGGGGAGGGUGGAGGUCGAUUAGCUAAUAGUUACUUUUGGCAGGAAAUACAAAUCGGCAGAGAAUUUUGGGAAUACCUCAGUAAUGUAAUAGGCCCGUAAUACCCUAUUACACCGAACCAAGCACACGAUUGGGAGGGGCUCACGUAAUAGGGUUGUAAUGGCUAUGCCAUUAC
rnacentral:lncRNA from 1 species